UUAGGAAUUUUGCGCAAUGGGAGAAAUCCUGACGCAGCAACGCCGCGCGAGUGAUGAAGGCCUUCGGGUUGUAAAACUCUUUUAGUUGGAACGAAAUAAAUGACGGUACCAACAGAAACAGCACCGGCUAACCCUGUGCCAGCAGCCGCGGUAAUACAGGGGGUGCAAGCGUUACUCGGAAUUAUUGGGCGUAAAGAGCGUGUAGGUGGUUCGUUAAGUCUGAUGUGAAAUCCCUGGGCUCAAUCCAGGAAGUGCAUUGGAUACUGGCGGACUAGAAUAUAGGAGGGGUGAGCGGAAUUCCUGGUGUAGAGGUGAAAUUCGUAGAUAUCAGGAGGAACAACAGUGGCGAAGGCGGCUCACUAGACUAUUAUUGACACUAAGGCGCGAAAGCGUGGGGAGCAAACAGG
rnacentral:rRNA from 1 species